UGGUUCUGGCAUCGAUGAAGAACGCAGCGAAAUGCGAUAAGUAGUGUGAAUUGCAGACUUUAGUGAAUCAUCGAAUCUUUGAACGCACAUUGCGCCCCUUGGUAUUCCAUUGGGCAUGCCUGUUCGAGCGUCAUGUAACCCGUCAAGCCCCGCUUGGUGUUGGGUGGUUGUCCCCGCUUCGGCGCGGACUCGCCCCAAAUUCAUUGGCAGCGGCCCCGCCAGCCUCUCGCGCAGCACUUUGCGAUCCGGGAGGCCUCCGACGGGCUCGCACCCAUCGAGAAACCCCUUCAUUUUGACCUCGAAUCAGGUAGGGAUACCCGCUGA
rnacentral:misc_RNA from 1 species